rnacentral:snRNA from 1 species
AUAUUUGCUUAAAGCUUAGAUCAAGAAGGCCCAUUGCCUAGGUUGUUGGCCUCCAUUGCACCUUGGAGGAGCAAAACCCUAAGAUCUUCCCAAGUGGGAGAGUCUACGUCAUAAUUUAUUUUCGAGGGGGUCUGCGUUCGCGCGGCCCCUA